AGCUCCAAUAGCGUAUAUUAAAGUUGCUGCAGUUAAAAAGCUCGUAGUUGCAUUUCCGAGGCAAGGGAUUAGUCCGACCUUUGGUGGGUAUUUAAUCCUCUUGCCUCGUCCUUGAGUGGUGCUUCUUGGUAUUAAGUUAUCGAGGAGAUAGCCGCUCAUCGUUUACUGUGAGAAAAUUAGAGUGUUCAAAGCAGGCUUAUGCCGUUGAAUAUAUUAGCAUGGAAUAAUAAGAUAGGACCUCGGUACUAUUGUGUGGGUUUGAGAACCAAGGUAAUGAUGAAUAGGGACAGUUGGGAGUAUUCGUAUUCAGUUGUCAGAGGUGAAAUUCUUAGAUUUACGGAAGACGAACUACUGCGAAAGCAUUUACCAAGGAUGUUUUCA
rnacentral:rRNA from 1 species